GAAAUCAAAACAUCAUUUCCCAGUCAAGUCAUCCAGCCUGGCCUCCAUUAUUUUCCAAUUUAUCAUUUCCAAAGCACCAGACUUUUCAACUGAUAGCCUUUUCCAAGAAAUCAUCUGCUUUAGCUAUCACUUGUCGUUUCACUUCCUUCCUAUCAAACCCUUUCAAUCAGGAUUUCUUGGCCAUCUUCCUCCUGCAUCCAGAGUUUCUCUCGUCUCUUCCACCAGGUAACUUCCCUCCCCUUUUCUUAGUGCCUCCUUUGCCAGGUCAUGCGCUUUAACAUUCUCUGCUCUUUGUAUGUAUCGAAAAACAAUUCUUUGAAAUCGGGUUUUAUUGUUCUGAAUAUCGACUAUAAUCGCACCUAGAACCGAUUUAUCUCUAACUCCCAUUUUGCACUUUUUGAUUAUUGUUUUCGAAUCUCCCAUUACCGUGACUGAGUUCAAACCCAUACUGAUGCCUAAGUUAGUUGCUUCUAAACAUGCUAAUGCUUCUGCUACAUAUGGAGAGGAAACGUUGGAGUGAAGAGUAGACUUGGAGGCUGCGAUUUCCCCAUUCUGACCCCUGACUACCAUUCCUGAUGCGGAUCUGGAGUUGUUGAUAUCGAAAGCUGCAUCAAACUGUAUAGACUCCCAUAGCUCCUCCUCUCCGUGUUCAGAUCUAACAGCUGUGGUUGUAAGUUUUCUUUCUCGUACACCUUCAAGCUCUAUUAAAAAAAUUCUGCACUUUAAAAGCUAGAUCCCUUUCUGAUGAAAUCUUCUUCUCAUGGAGCAUCUGAUUUCUCGAGUUCCAUGUAACCCAUAAUGCGUAACAAAAAAUGCGGAUCUGCUCCUUUGUUCCUCUACUGAAUACCCAGGUGAGCCAUGUCCAUGCACUCUGGUCUGUAUGUUCUGUUACCCAUGCCAAAUUGAGACUGAUCCAUGCAUCCAUGCUUACAGGGCAUUGCCUAAACACAUGAAAGCUAUCCUCUUCUGCAGAACAACCACGUGGACACCUUGCAAUAGUGGUCACUCUCUUAGAUCUGAGAUUAACAAGUGAAGGGAUGUAGUUCCAAGAUAUUCGCCAUAUGAAAAUUAGGAUUUUUGUUGGUAACUGUAGAUUCCAUAAUUUCCUGUAGAAAUCUUUAGCAUCUGCCUGUAAUAAAUAAUUACUAGAAUCCAAGUUAGCUUCUUGUAAUAGUUUAUAGGCACUUCUAACUGUAAAUUCUUCAGAGGGUUCCCCUUUCCACACUUUCGUGUCAUUACAGUCCGUUCUCGAGAGAGGAAUCUGCAAAAUUUUUUGAGCGGUUUCCCUUUGAAAGGUAUUCACAAUUACCUCUGUCUUCCACUUCUUGUUAAUGUUAUCAAUGAGAUCAGAAACCUUAACUAACUCACCAUUGUCACGUCUGUUUUGCCACAUCUCCGGUUCCAUCCCUGGUAUCCAACGGUCAUUCCAGAUAGAUAUUGCAUCUCCUCUCCCGACUCUCCAGAUGAGACCGUUCAAAAGGAGUCCUUUUGCUGCCCAAAUGCUUCUCCAGGUAAGAUAUGGUAAGUUUCCCAACUGUGAAUUUAAAAAACUGGACCUUGGGUAGUAUUUGGCUUUAAAAACUUUGGCUAAAAGUGAAUUUAGAUUAUUAAACAAACGCCAACCCUGUUUUGCUAACAACGCGAUAUUAGACUGAUUAAAAUUUCGGAAACCCAACCCGCCGUUUUCCUUUAAAAGACAAAGAUUUUUCCAGGAACACCAAUGAAUUCCCUUUUUUUCCACGACUCUUUUGCCACCAAAAUCUCGCAACAAUACUCUCCAGUUCUUCGCAUAAUGACUUUGGGAGUAGAAAACAAGCCAUUGAGUAUGUCGGUAUGGCUUGCAAUAUUGCCUUAAUGAAUAUUUCUUUUCCUCCUAGCGAUAAAAAACGAGUACUCCAAUUUUCAACCUGCUAUUUCAAUUUGUCCUUUAAAGCCUGAAAAGAUUGUUUCUUUUUCCUACCUAUCAUAUUUGGCAAACCCAAGUAUCUUUCUGGCUCAUCUGAACUUCGAACUCCUAGUAAAUUGACUAUUAGCCGUCUUUCUUCUUCAAGCGUAUUUUUGCUGAAAAAUACAGUUGAUUUGGAAAAUUUCACACAUUGGCCUGAACAACUCUUAUACUCACUAAGAAACUCCUUAAGUGCUAAAGCUCCUUUCCUCGUCGUUUCUCCAAAAAGAAUACAAUCAUCCGCAAAUAGUAAAUGGUUUGCCUGCGGACCAUUUCUGCUUGCCUUUACUCGUUUUAGAAGACCACAUAUUAGGAAAAGAAACGGGCUCAAAGUAUCACCCUGUCGAAGUCCCCUUGUUGGGCGAAAAAUUCCUUAUUACCUCCAUUAAGCACUACUUGAUAAGUGAUUGUAGAUAUGCAAUUCAUAAUAGAGGCGACCCAUAGCAUGCCACAGAUAACAAAAGUAGAGUAACAAGAAAAACAAAACUUUACGAAAACCUAAAAACUCUUGCUAGUGGCGGCAGACAAAGGCUUGCUAGGGUAGCAGACUACUGCAAAAUAUAUUUUUAUUCUAUAUUAAUUACUUAAAAGAUAUUUAAAAUUUAUAUUUCAUAUAUCAUUAUAUUAAAUUAUUUAAAUAUCAUAUAUCUUAACUGAUUUUUUACUUUCUACCAUCAUGUCUGAAAAUGAGCUUUUAGCUUUCAACCGUAAUUUUUGAUAGCAAUAAAGAACAUUAAAAAUUAACAAACCACACUUUUUCAAAGUACUUCUCUACCAUACUUUUCAAAAACACUUAUUCUAAAAUCACUUUUCGAUUGUAACCAUAGUGUUUUUGUCCUAGGCGGUAGAGUCGUAGUGCAGAGAAGUGUCAAGCAAGGGUGUAUUGCCGACUCCACUAUUGAGGCCGAAUACGUGGUUGCUUUUGAGGCAACAAAAAAAGCAAUAUCGCUUUGGAAGUUCCUUACAUAUCUCGAACUUGUUCUUGGUAUAGAGAAACUAUCCCAUUGUAUCGUGAUAAUUGUGCGACAAUAGUAGCCAACACCAAAGAGACCAGAACCACAGGCGGACAAGACACGUGGAUAAAAAAUAUCAUAAGAUAUGGGAGGCGUAGCAGGUGGAAUAGUGGAUGUAGUCAAAGUUGCAUGAGAGCGCAACCUUGCGGAUUUGUUUACCAAAACUCUAGUGGUUAGGAGUUUUGAGAAACAUGUAGAGGCUAUGAGAAUGUGAAAUAUGAAUAAUCUACUUCACUAGAGCAAGUGAGAGACUAUUGGGAUCUGGUGUCUUUAGUGUAGUUACAUUGUCCGUAUACUUGUAAUUUUUUCAACAAAUUGGUCUAAUAAAAUUCCAUCAUUAUCAUUAAAUAUCUUUUGAAUAAUGUCUUAAACGGUUUUUGUAUACAAAGCAAAAUGAAAGAAAUAUUGGCUCAUUGAUUAUCUAACGUUUAACUAAUACUAAGUUGC
rnacentral:lncRNA from 1 species